rnacentral:rRNA from 1 species
AUGGACCUGGAUGACUUUCCACUUGACCAGGAGUUUCCGGACGACUACAGGCAAGAGGAAGAGGACGAGUGCGGCAUCAAAGUGGAGCCUUUGUUCGAGGACGAGCUCGUCAACCAAGCCGCCAGGCCGAAGCCGAAACGCAAGAGCAAGCGCACGAAGGCAUACACGACGGCCGAGGACAAGCUUCUUUGCUAAUGUUGGCGAGACAUUGGACAAGACCCCAAGACCAGCGCCGAACAAAAUCAUUCAACUUUUUGGAUUCGUGUUCACCGGGAGUUUCAUGAGCGCAAGAAGUUUCCUCCUUACCAAAUCGUGAGCACGCGCGGGUGGGUGUCCAUUUCGAAGCGAUGGAGGGUGAUCCAACAAGAGUGCAACAAGUUUUGUGCCACUCUCGAGAGCAUCAAGGCCCGCCAUGUGAGCGGCAUCGACAUGCAAGACAUGGUAUGCUAUGUAACACCCGGGAUAUGA